rnacentral:rRNA from 1 species
ACUCGUAGGCGGUUCGUCGCGUCCGGUGUGAAAGUCCAUCACUUAACGGUGGAUCCGCGCCGGGUACGGGCGGGCUUGAGUGCGGUAGGGGAGACUGGAAUUCCCGGUGUAACGGUGGAAUGUGUAGAUAUCGGGAAGAACACCAAUGGCGAAGGCAGGUCUCUGGGCCGUUACUGACGCUGAGGAGCGAAAGCGUGGGGAGCGAACAG